rnacentral:rRNA from 1 species
UACGAAGGGGGCUAGCGUUGUUCGGAAUUACUGGGCGUAAAGCGCACGUAGGCGGAUAUUUAAGUCAGGGGUGAAAUCCCAGAGCUCAACUCUGGAACUGCCUUUGAUACUGGGUAUCUUGAGUAUGGAAGAGGUGAGUGGAAUUCCGAGUGUAGAGGUGAAAUUCGUAGAUAUUCGGAGGAACACCAGUGGCGAAGGCGGCUCACUGGUCCGAUACUGACGCUGAGGCGCGAAAGCGUGGGGAGCAAACAGG